UACAGAGGUCUCAAGCGUUGUUCGGAUUCAUUGGGCGUAAAGGGUGCGUAGGCGGCGCGGUAAGUCGGGUGUGAAAUCUCGGGGCUUAACUCCGAAACUGCAUUCGAUACUGCCGUGCUUGAGGACUGGAGAGGAGACUGGAAUUUACGGUGUAGCGGUGAAAUGCGUAGAUAUCGGGAGGAACACCAGUAGCGAAGGCGGCACUCUGGGCCGGAACUGACGCUGAGGAGCGAAAGCGUGGGUAGCAAACAGG
rnacentral:rRNA from 1 species